AACGCAAACGGCGCUCCCUGGUAUUCCGGGGAGCAUACCUGUUUGAGCAUCAAUAUUAAUCUCAAACCCUUUUGGGUAUGGUGAAUGAGCGUCAUGCCUAGCAUGUUGCUUGAAAUGCAUUGUAGAGCCUAUCAACCAAUGGUGAGGACCUAGUCCAGCUGUUGGAUUUGGUAAAGCUUGAAACCACCAAACUUGAUCUCAAAUCAGGUAAGAUUACCCGCUGAAUUGAA
rnacentral:misc_RNA from 1 species